rnacentral:rRNA from 1 species
UACAGAGGUGGCAAGCGUUGUUCGGAAUUACUGGGCGUAAAGGGCGCGUAGGCGGUCUUUUAAGUUCCGUGUGAAAGCCCCCGGCUCAACUGGGGAGGGUCAUUCGAUACUGAUCGACUCGAAGGCAGGAGAGGGAAGCGGAAUUCCCGGUGUAGUGGUGAAAUGCGUAGAUAUCGGGAGGAACACCAGUGGCGAAGGCGGCUUCCUGGCCUGUUCUUGACGCUGAGGCGCGAAAGCUAGGGGAGCAAACGGG